rnacentral:rRNA from 2 species
AAAACGACUCUCGGCAACGGAUAUCUCGGCUCUCGCAUCGAUGAAGAACGCAGCGAAAUGCGAUACUUGGUGUGAAUUGCAGGAUCCCGCGAACCAUCGAGUCUUUGAACGCAAGUUGCGCCCGAAGCCUUCCGGCCGAGGGCACGUCUGCCUGGGUGUCACUC